GCAGCCGCGUCCGCAGGCUGAGCCCAGGCGGGCCGCGGCGAGCGCCCGGCCGCUCCGACCCCCGCCGCCGCCGCCGCCGCCGCGCCCUCCCCGCCGCCGCGCCCCCGCUCGGCCCGCUCCCAACGGAAAGUUGGGCUGCGGCGGGCGGCGUUUGGAAACCGCGAGCCGGCAUGAGAGCGGCUCGGGGGGGCGCCUAGGGCACCGGGAGGCGGUGCCGCACGGGGGCAACUUCUCCCGGGAGCCCGCGCCGCCGGCCCCGCGCCUGGAGCCCCCGAGCGGGCUCGCGGUGGUUCCUCCCGUCCCUCGGCCUCCCCCCGCCGAUUUGAGACGCGGACCUUGGUCCCGGCGGCUCCGCGGCGGUGACACGAGCCCGCGCCGCCGCCUCAGCCUCCGCCGCCUUCUCAGCCCCGCCGCCGCCUUUCCCGCACUAUGGAGUUCUCCGAGAGGAAAAGAAGCAGGAAAUCCCAGAGCUUCAAACUGGUGAGCCGAGAUUAUCACCAUGAGGUAUAUAAGAUCUCAGAAUUCAGCAACGAUGUUAAUGGGGAGGCCAAAGAGACACAACCCAUUUUUUUAGGAGAUGAAGGCAUGGAAAUUAAAAAACAAAUUACAGGGAUGAGAAGAUUACUGAAUGACAGCACUGGGAGGAUAUAUCAGCGUGUUGGCAAAGAAGGAGAAAAACUAAAAGAAGAGCCCCAGGAUUUGGAUUUAGCCUGGCCUCAGCGUUUGAACUCCCCUGCUGAGGCCCCACAGAGCCUCCAUUCUUCACGUGGUGUGUGGAAUGAGCUACCACCCCAAAGCGGGCAGUUCUCAGGGCAGUAUGGCACCCGUUCUAGAACCUUCCAGAGUCAGCCCCACACCACUGCAAACUCCAACGGAGAACUUCCAGUGGUGAAUUCAUCAGUUGGAUCAAACUGCUGUACUUGUAACUGCCAGUCAACGUUGCAGGCCAUUCUCCAAGAACUCAAGACCAUGAGAAAAUUAAUACAAAUUCAAGCAGUUGGAACUCAAAACAGACAACAACCCCCAAUUUCCCUUAUAUGCUCCCAGCGAACUGCUGUCUCACGCAAGAGAAAUAAAAAGAAAAAAGUGCCCCCCAAAACCGUCGAACCUGUUACUGUGAAACAGAAGCCCAAUGUGUUAGAAAUUGAGAAGAAGCCAACAGCAGGGGCCUUGGAGCAGUCUGGUCCCCAAACCUCAGAGCUCACCUCCACCAAGGAGAGCCACGUCCUGGGAUUUGGCAUUGUUCUCGAAUCACCUUCUUCAGAUCCAGAAGUGCAACUUGCUGAAGGCUUUGAUGUAUUUAUGCCUAAGUCUCAGCUGGACUCUAUACUGUCAAACUAUACUCGCUCAGGAAGCCUUCUCUUUAGAAAACUGGUGUGUGCAUUUUUUGAUGACAAGACUUUGGCUAACUCCUUACCCAAUGGGAAGAGGAAAAGAGGACUCAAUGACAACCGGAAAGGACUAGACCAAAAUAUUGUGGGUGCAAUAAAAGUCUUUACAGAAAAGUACUGUACUGCUAACCAUGUGGAUAAACUUCCUGGCCCAAGAGACUGGGUACAGAUUCUACAAGAUCAAAUUAAACUGGCCAGAAGAAGGUUAAAAAGAGGUUCAGAUUUUACAACUUGAUUGUCACCAGGGAAGAAAGAGUGUGAACUUGUUGAUACAGACAGAUGUUACAAUUAAGUUUAGCAGAGGUAACUGAUGGUGAUGAAAGACUGGACGGCAUUUCUCUACCACCAACAGGGAAGAAAGCCUGAGGCCCAGAAACGCUAAAUGACUUCCCCAAGGUCUCAAGAGCUGAUUGAUGGCCUGGCCGGAACUCAGGCCCCUCAACUCCCAGCCAUGACACCAUAGAGCUUUCUUAUACCUAAGCCAAAGCCAGCUUUUCUCCGCAUGUUUCUUAAAGAUCCUAAGAGAUGAUGGCUGUACUAAUCCAUUUAGGAUUCCAUUUCAGUGUCUCACAAUCUUCACAGUUAGAAUGUUCAUUGUCAGUCUACCCAAAGUUUGCCACAGUCUAAGCUCAUUUAUUCAAAUCCUCUCUCAAAUUUUGCCCAAAGCUGUGAGGUCAUAAUGAAGAAAGUAGUAGAACACACCUGCAGGUCUUUUCAUUAGACUGCUAAUAGAGAUUUGUUACAAAUUACUAAAGAGCAUGAUAAAUAAAAAUGUUCAUUACUUUAGAAAAGGGAGAAGUCACAGAUUGGUGCUCAAAUUUUGCCAUAAUAAAAUCAAAUAAUCUCAAUAGUCCAGCAUGUCCCUUGGUUGCCUCUCUAUGGUAAAAUCCCCAGUCUGGUUGGCUUCUUUGAAUGCAGCACUAUUGCUAAUGUCCCUCCUUCCAUGUGCCCUGACACGACAUCUGGGCAAGUAGAUCCACCUUCUUGCAAAUGUAGUUUCAUCCUCAAGAGUGGAGCCUCACUGGUCAGAACCACAAAAACACCCAGGGACUCUGGUCCUUCAUUAUCUCAUUUACCUGAUCUGGCAACAGUAGGUCCUUUUUAAAGAUUCAAGAAUGCCUUUAUUAUCCUUUUAAGAUCUUUUUUAUCCUUCCAAUUGUGUGUGUGUUAGGGAGAAGCAAGGAAAAGAAGGAAAUUCUUUAGGGUUGCUAUGAAUCUGAAGUGGCCAGGGCAGGGUUACAGUCAGAUGCUCAAAUGACUUUUGUUUCAGCCUACUACAGUUAAGCAACCUUUUAUUUGUGUGGCUUUAACAAAAAUGGAUACAGAUUCUGUAGUGAAGAAAUGUGUUUUCUUAAUUUAUUGCCUCUUCACCCUGUUCUAAAGCCUUUUGAGCAACUCCUGGGAAUCAGUACUGCAUUCGGGUUUGCUGGAUAAAUUCCUGCACUCAGACUAACAUGAGGCCAAAGCACUUACCUAAAUGCUGCAGCACAGAUACAGAGAGAGUUCUGGAUAAGGAAGAAAAAGUCCCCAAGAUAUGGGAACAAUUGGGGUUUUAAAAAAAAGUAUAAAGUAAAAUCAAAACAGUACAUUUUAAAACUUCAAGUGGGACUUCUGAAUUUGAAAAGGGGUGAUGUCCAUCUGAGCUUAGCAAUCUAUGUCACAAAUUGGCAUUAAUUUACAUACUUUUCUCUUAAGAAAUCUAAGGAAGAAAAUUUAAAUUAAUGUUACCACCCAUAGACAACCAUCAUUACACAUUUUUCCCAGACUUUUCUCUAUCUUGAUUUUGUUUAUGUAAUAGAGAUCAAAUACAUAAAAUUUUAUUUCCAGAGCAUUUGAGAUUUUACCUUAAGAAGCAUUCUCCUAUUUUGUUACAAAUCUUUAUACACGUUGUUAGGUGCAUGAUGCUCCGUUUUGUAGGUAAAUCACACUUCAUUUAGCCUUUUUCUGUUACUGGACAAUGGGCAUACUCUAAUAGUAAUAUGUAUUCAUAGGACUUCCUGUAAAAUAUAAUCAUUAAAAGUUUCUAAUUCCUAAAUUGCUCAUUUAGGCACAACUAAAACCUUGGCUAAAAACUUGGCAACUUCACUCUACAACACAGGCACCUAAAAGUCAAUUCCCCACUUGUCCAGAACACCAGCUCAGGCCUUGUGAUAGAAUGUACAGCUGUCCCUUAGAGAAGUGACUUUCCCCCUUCCAUUGUCUUAUCUCUGUUAUAGGUAAUAUAUUUGACACCAAGCGAGAAAACACAGAGAAUAUAGAACCAGGUUUCAUUGCCUAAGCUCUCAUUUUAGUGACCUUGUCAUUAGCAUAUGUAACUCUUCCAUUUGAGUUUCCUCAAAAAUCCAUAUAGAAUUUCAUGUGCCUGCAAAGUGUGGGUGUUCUGUGAAGUUUACCUGUCAUGUUAGAAUAAUUUCAUAUGCUUCCCUUAUAAUGAAGCCUCCAAUUUGGUAUAAGAUUUUUAAAAAUUGUUUUUAGACUUGAUUUGUUACCCUUCAAAAGUCCAGCACAUGAUCCAGUAAGUUCAUUGUCAUAAAGAAGCAGUUCUUCCUUUUUUUAUUCAUUCAUAACCUUAAUGUGAAUAUGCAUAGUUUUGAAGCAUAUUUAUUUUCACAUAAAUUGCCUAGCUGCAGUAUAAAGGAGAAUGUUUUUUUCCAGGACUGAGGGAGCAGUUGUAAACACCAAAACUAAUUAGACCUUCUUCAGCUCAGAAGAAAAAGUUGUUCUGGGAGACAAGAUAGCUCUGACCUAUAAGAUGAAAUCAUUUAUGACAUCAGUGCACCCCACCCCCCAAAAAUUUGUAGCUAAAUUCAGUGCAAGUGAUGUGUGAAUUUUUAGGAAUGAAAACCCUUUCAUAUGAAUUGUGUCAACACAGAGACAAAAUAACUAAUUCAAAGGUGAAAAACUCAAAGUAACCAGUUCUACUUGAUACAUAACAACCAUUUAAACAAAUGACUUUAACUGAGUGAUCCAGGAUUUCAGUUGUGUGGUAACCAGCCACAAGUGUAUACAUGCUUAAUGUUUGGUACACUUCCUGGUACACUUGCCCUCUACUUUGUAUAGAACCAACAUAAGAAACUGAAUUUAUUUGAAAGAGAUAUCUUCCCAUGUGGGUAUCUGUUUUACAGAAAUAUUUGCCUCCAGAUUUCGUUUUUGCUUUGAAUAUUUGGCAUUUGAUCCAAAGGUCAAAUAUUGGCAUGAAAGAAAUUUGACUGUACAUCCACCAGCUCCCAGCAGGGUUAAAACAUGUGACAGUUAGAUACCUUUCCCUAGCACUUAUUUCAUCUACCUGUUGGAGCUAACAGUUCCUGUAGAGGACAGUCCCACCCUUGGCUUUGCAGGUGAGGAAACUGAAGAGUGAGGGUGAGUGGUUGCCCUGAUCCAGGGAGCCCUUUGGUGACUCGUGGGGCACAGAACCCAAGUGUCCUUACUACCCUAUCCAAGGGCUCUGAAAAACUAAGCCUAGAGACAGAAAGGACACUCUGGGAUAUGUCAGUAUUCCACCGAGACCAGCUACUCAACUGAAGAUAAUGCACAACAUCCCCGUAAUGUGACAGAAAACUGGCUUUAGGUGUGGCUUGUGGAAUCUGUCUACUAGACAGUUAUAUCUCAUAUAUGUGUGUCUUUUAUUUUUCUUCUUUUUGAAGCUAAAAGGAAGGGUCAGAGAAAUGAUUUCCUUUGUAUCUUUUAGUUAGCCUUUUCCACUCCAGUCAGUAAUCCCUUUCCUGAAACCAGUCCCUUUGUUGUAUCAAGUGGUCUGAUGAACUACUGUGUCUAAACCAGGGCUUUUGUUUUUCUGCAGCGAAUGCUUAAAAAUUUGUCUUCUGCCUCCCAGAAUGAAAUAUGUCUCAAGGGAAUAGAAAAGAUUAAUUAGUGACCUUUCACUCUAUUAAACUAUGAUGAAUAUGUCUCUAAUAAAGGUAGAAACAUUUACUCACAACUGUGGGUUUGUUAAAUAUGCACCAUGAACCUUCAGAAGCACUUCCUUCCAAGCCUGGGUGACAGCUUGGAAUUUUUAAUACUUGAGGAGAGAGAGGGAAUAUUCAACUCACAGAUAUGUGCAAUGGAUUCACAAAUUGGAAAUAUAUAUCAAAACUGUAACCGCAAAAUCAUAUUUUAUAAAUUAAAAUUGUUUUCGUGUUAACUUACUGUGACUACUGUUCAGACUUUGUUCAGAAAUCCUUUUUAUAGGCUUUCUUAGCAAAAAAAAAAAUCCAUAUCUAUGGAUAAUGUCUCAAUCUCUGUAUAUAUGUUUUAUUAAUAUGUAAAUAUUCUGAUUUUUUAAAAUUACUAUGUUCUUUAAGAAAAAAGUCAAUGCAAGGCUAGUUGUGAAAAUGGUGUAUAACAUUGUGUUGUGAUAUCAACUCCCAAGAUGCUCUUUAUGUCCAUUCUGGAAGACUACAAUAAAUUACUUUAA